rnacentral:lncRNA from 1 species
AUGCUCCAGAGUUUAUCUUUAAUCCAGGCCCUUCUGACAACAGGAAGAGAGCAGAGAAGCACCUUUGACAAGGCACUGAGGAACUGCAGAGGAACUCCCUCUCCAAGCCUCAUUUUCUGUGUAUUUUCUGAGACCUUUGAAGGCCUGGCUGAGGAUGUUGCUCUGAAGAACAGGACUCCAGCUCCAUUUGCAGCUGUCUUGGUGCUGCCCUCCCUGUGCUGGACAGCUGAAGUCCUGCCCUGGAGUCACACAAAGCUUCCUUAGAGUGACAGCAAGGCCAUCAAAGGGAUAGCAGGACCUCAGCUGGCUGUCCCUGAGCAGGAAACCUCUUUAAAAUACACCUCCUUCAAGGUUUGUCCCCCAAAGAAGCAGCCUGAGCUCUGAAAUGAGUUGAUUAUCCCUGAGACCAGCGUUCUGGUGGGACUCCAUGAACUCCUUUUAUUUUUUUUUAUUUAUUUUGGUAAGCCUCCACAAAAAAAAAAACAACUGAAUCUCUCCAAACAACACCUCUCCCCUCAGGUUAUUCCUGUUGCUGCUCUCAAGGGGUCACAAGCAAGCAAAGACCUGAGCUUUCCAGCCAAAAAAAAGUCCAGUUUUUAUGUUAUUAUUUAUUCUUCUGAAAGUGAAACCUGUGAUUUCCAGCAGGGAGUUGGAGAGCUGUGACCCAGCAGGUAUUUCCUCUGCCCCAAGCCCAGCUCUUGCCAGAACUGCACCCAAACAGCAAUCCAGGCCCUUUGGGGGAAAUUUCAGGCCGCAUCCAGAACAUUCAUUAGUGCAAUUAAAGCCAUUAGCUGGUUCUGAGGCCACGUCCUGACUCAGCCAGGGCCUGGGGUUUGCUGCACACGCCCUGAACUCCUCCACUGCACAGAAGUGAUGUUUAGUGUUUAGGUUUUGAUCCUGCCUCGUAAGAACACGAUAGUCCCUGAGGGCUCUGAGGGAAGCCAACCAGCCCUUAUCAAUCAGGAGAAGACGCUGCAGCUCAAAUUCCCGUCGAUAGAGAAGCCAGAUUGAGAAUGUAAUUAUCCUAAUUAAUUUUAUAUCUGGAACUCAUCUCCUUUCACACAAACAGCAGUUUCCAAGCAGGCCACCGGCUUUUUUUUUUUGCACAGAGCAGUGGUUUUAUCUUCUUGAGGGGCCUGUUGGCAA